rnacentral:rRNA from 1 species
UACGUAGGGUGCAAGCGUUAAUCGGAAUUACUGGGCGUAAAGCGUGCGCAGGCGGUUAUAUAAGACAGUUGUGAAAUCCCCGGGCUCAACCUGGGAACUGCAUCUGUGACUGUAUAGCUAGAGUACGGUAGAGGGGGAUGGAAUUCCGCGUGUAGCAGUGAAAUGCGUAGAUAUGCGGAGGAACACCGAUGGCGAAGGCAAUCCCCCUGGACCUGUACUGACGCUCAUGCACGAAAGCGUGGGGAGCAAACAGG